GGGGGGCGGGGCCUUUCCACGCCCCGCCCCCCUUAACCCUCACCGGGCCGCGGCCUGCGAGUCCCCGCAGGGCGUGUCUCAGGGGAGAGAAGGCGGGGCGAUGGAGGCAUGACCCCGGUCCCCGGCCGCAUGGGUGGGGCGGGCACCGUGCAGGUGCACCUGCCCCUCCGUUUCUCGCCUUGUAAGCGUACUUCAGAGCCUCGUCCCCUCCAGGCUUACCGAGACUUUUCCGUGGGCUGUGGUCCGGGUCGUGGCCCUCAGGGCAACGCUGCAACUGCUCCAAGCCAUGCCAGUCGGGGACGCCGUACCUCUGGAUGGGGAGGGCAGGACUAUCCCCAAGACUCCAGCCCUUCAAUGCCAUCUCUGCCUAGACCUCCAAGCACUCAGGACGCUCCUCCAGGGCCACAGGACACCUGGCCAGGCCUGCCUGACCUGACUGGACACGAAGCAGGAUAAUCUCCCAUUCAGGGGCUACACUGGGGUUGAGGUUGGGGUGGGGGUGGGGGAAUGGCAACAGUGCUGUGAACCCAGGGCUCUAGAGGCAGUCUCCAGGUGAUGUGCUCACUUGGAGACGGGAGAGGAGGGGCUAGAUGGGCUGCGGUGCUCACUGAGUUCUUGGUCCCCAGCCUCUGGACAGCCAUGUCCCCUCACAGCCACACUCACACACAGCAUCACUAAUUCCUGGUCAUCCCCCAAAAUUCCUGAUCAGCACCAGAUCUCCAGGCCUCUGCCGGAGCCUGAAGCUCGGGGUCAGAUGCCUCACCCAAGCUGACCCCAACACCAGGCCUCUGCAGCUUGUUGGGACCCUGAGCUAGGUCUCCAGGUCUCUGCACCUACCUUGGAGGUAAAGGUUUGAAGAGGGGCCCUGCCUGGCCCUGGCCCUGGCCCUGCCCCUGGCUUCUCCCUUCCCCUCAGAUAGAAAGGGCCCUGGGCCCGGCCCCUGUCCCAGCUUCGUGGGGGGACUCAGGAGGUCCCCCAGGGAAGCAGAAAGGGAUGGUGAUCUAGGGUCGCCCAUGUCUGUGUCCUCCUCAUGCCCCCCACCCACAGCGUAGGCCAGCUUGCUCACAUGGGUUCCAGUGGAAGACUGAGGCAACUGUGGCUGCUGUGCCUGAGAGAUAGGGGCAGGGUGGGCAGAGCCGGGGCAGGUGACGGUGCCGGGUGAGGGGGCCCCAUGCUCUCCAAUGGCCCAAGUCUUCAGUACCAUGGCACCUCUGGACCUGAGAUCAGCUGGAUGACGCAUCCGCCAGCCCAGUCCAGAGAGAAGAGAGGACCAGUUCAGGGCUUUGUGCAACCAGCCGGUGGAAAGCCAGUUCAGUCAAGCCUGAGGCCUGCCUGGGAAGUCUGGUGUGGCUGUGCCGAGCCUGUUCUGGGACUGGGGGCUCAGCUAUGCUGAGCUUUUCCUGGUCAGGGCAGCUCCUGGUGGGGUGGAAGGGCCAGCAUGGGGCUGAGGGCUCUGCUGCCCUUUCCCUGGGUACUUGCUCUGUCCAGGGCAUCUUGCCUACCUUGGGUGGAGGGAGGGCUAUGCCCCAAACAUCACUGUGUGGGAUCCCCUGAGCAGCAGGACUGGGGAGGGCAGAUGUGAGAAAUCCCACUUCCGACCUGAGGGUUCUGGGCCCAUGAAGCAAAGGAACUGUCCCCAGAGACCAGGAGGGACCCCACCCUUCACCUCACGUCAGCGCCCACACAUGCCUCUGCAGCUGCCCCUGCCAACAGCCAUGGGGACUCCUUCUCUAGUCCUACAGAGUCCCAGAGCUCGGCUGUUUGGAGGCACAGGAACCCUUGCUGCCGCCAGCCACAGCCUGCGAGGAAGGAUUCAGCCCUGUUCCUUGGCCCCACAGACAGUCCAGCCCUGAUUCUGGGCCCACCAGCCCUGAGAGCCUCUGUUGCCCGGAAGUAUGAGGGCAGCAGCACGUGGAGCUGCUGUCAAUUCUGCAAAAGGAUCAGCGAGAAGGCGCAUGUGCAAGGUCACCCACCACCUGGUUCCAUCUGCCUCUUGUCUGCUCUUGUACAAAGCCCUAUGGAGCCAGUGGUGGCCAAGGACAUCUGGAAGGAGGACAAGGGCCAGGCCUUGCUGGGCGGCCUGGGGUCAGACAUCAGCCAGCAGCUGGUCUGGCCCUGUCUGCCUGGCCCCUUCCCGCCUCAUCUCAGGCCAGUUUCAGACUCCCUAGGAAAGUUUCUGUUUGUCUAAAUGUUUAGAUGUAUUGGCAUGAAAAUGUGCAGAGUCCUCAUUCCCGCACUUGUGAUUAUGUCAUCUCUUUCCUUCCUAAUGGGGAAGAAAAGCCUCACAUGCGCCAUGUCCCAUUCUUGUUAGGAAAACUUCUACUCUGCCCUACCCCGAUCGGUGGCAAGUGUGAGCUCUGAGGCCAGUCUUUCUAGAAGGUCCACAGGGGCAAAACCUGGCUCACAAACACGACGUGAGAAAAGUGUUAGGUGACCGUCUUUCGCCUCCUCGGUCCCCACUCCCCGUCGUCAGCAACGUGUUUCCUUCCACAGGCAGUUAUGGGCAUCAGCUGAUAAAGUUUACAGUCAGAGCAUACUAUGUGCUCUUCCUUCUCGCCUUUUUUCCUUAAUAAUAUGCCUUAGAGAUGCACCUGAAAGUUAGAUGGCAGCACCCUGUGGACAAGCUUUGCUUUCCGUGUCUCGAUAUCACACACAUUGCUGUAAACACUGCCCUCCAACAGACGCUUUCUGCACGUGAGCAAAAGUGCCCUGUCCUGCGUCACUGGGAUCCGCAUCCUGGCGUUCAGGUCGCGUCCGGCAGGGGCGCGCGGCUGCGGACAGAUGGCGACCGCCACCUGCUGGACGCGCGGGGUACUGCGGCGCGCGGCCGCGAUUCCGGGGCCAGCGCCUGCCAGGGCUCUGGGGCUAGUUCCCCUUUGGUCCUCUCCCCUUUCAGAAAUGUCCUGGGGUUACUUGCCUUAAAAAAACAAAACACAUGAACUCUCACGUUUUUAACCUUUUUUUCCUGUCCUUUUUGUGUCCUUGGCUCAUUUUCUGUUUUUCUUACCCACUUGUGUUGCCUCAGCCUUUUGUUUGCAAGUUGCAAAUAGUUGCCCCAGUUUCUGGACUUGGGGUUUGCCUGUAAUGGUUCGGCCAGGCGAAAACGCUUUACUUUGCGUGGUAACACGUGCCAUCCUUUGUUUAUCAGGCCUGGAUUUGGGAUCCUAUUUAGGAAGUCUUCCUAGCCCUGAGGCUGAAAAGGGAUUGUCCUUUGGUUCCCCUAGGACUUUCGUGGUUUUAUUUAUUCUAUGUCUAAUUUUGAUCAACUUGGGGUGCGUUCCUGUGUAAGGCACAAGCUCGGGACUCAACUUCAUGUAUUAAAUGGCCCUUUUGCCCCCAAGGAUUCGUGAUGCCACCAGGACCCCACAUAAUUCCGUACAGUGUCUCUGGGCUCUGCUCUGUCCCGCACCA